CCUACGGGAGGCAGCAGUGAGGAAUAUUGGUCAAUGGACGAGAGUCUGAACCAGCCAAGUAGCGUGAAGGAUGACUGCCCUAUGGGUUGUAAACUUCUUUUAUAUGGGAAUAAAAUGUUCCACGUGUGGGAUUUUGUAUGUACUAUAUGAAUAAGGAUCGGCUAACUCCGUGCCAGCAGCCGCGGUAAUACGGAGGAUCCGAGCGUUAUCCGGAUUUAUUGGGUUUAAAGGGUGCGCAGGCGAGCUGUUAAGCCGACGUUAAAAAUUCAGGGGUAAACCCUGUAGAGCCGUCAGAACUGGCAGUCUAGAGUGGGCGUGAGGUAUGCGGAAUGCGUGGUGUAGCGGUGAAAUGCAUAGAGAUCACGCAGAACGCCGAUUGCGAAGGCAGCAUACCAGCGCCCGACUGACGCUGAGGCACGAAAGCGUGGGGAUCGAACAGGAUUAGAUACCCGGGUAGUC
rnacentral:rRNA from 1 species